AUUGAACGCUGGCGGCAUGCUUUACACAUGCAAGUCGAACGGUAACAGGCCUUCGGGCGCUGACGAGUGGCGAACGGGUGAGUAAUGCAUCGGAACGUGCCCAGUCGUGGGGGAUAACGCAGCGAAAGCUGUGCUAAUACCGCAUACGAUCUGUGGAUGAAAGCGGGGGACCUUCGGGCCUCGCGCGAUUGGAGCGGCCGAUGUCAGAUUAGGUAGUUGGUGGGGGAAAGGCUCACCAAGCCAACGAUCUGUAGCUGGUCUGAGAGGACGACCAGCCACACUGGGACUGAGACACGGCCCAGACUCCUACGGGAGGCAGCAGUGGGGAAUUUUGGACAAUGGGCGCAAGCCUGAUCCAGCAAUGCCGCGUGCAGGAAGAAGGCCUUCGGGUUGUAAACUGCUUUUGUACGGAACGAAACGGUCCUGGUUAAUACCUGGGGCUCAUGACGGUACCGUAAGAAUAAGCACCGGCUAACUACGUGCCAGCAGCCGCGGUAACAC
rnacentral:rRNA from 1 species